rnacentral:lncRNA from 1 species
GCAAGCUUAAAUGUUUUGGUAGCAGCUAGAACCAGAGAGACAACAAGGCUUUGAGAAAGGAAAGUUCACCAGUUCCUAUUUAAAAGUUGAAUCGGUAGCACAUACCUUAUCCAUUAGUCUGAAGAAGCUUCUGCAUCAUACUGUUUUAUUGCCUGGGUGAAGAAGUUUCUUUCUUCUUGACCUUGACAAAGAGAUCAUUUAUCAAGUUUGACAAAUUUCUUGAUUAUUCCCAUUUCCCAGAAUCUCACUACCAGGAAAGCGCCCAAGACGAUGAUUCCUUGCUACCGCAGUCUCAUUGAAUUCGCAAACUGAAUCACUAAUAAAAGUUUUAAUCUCUGUUUUCUUUUGUGCUUCCACGAUCAGUAUAGUAUCUAAUCUCUAUUUCCUUUUGCUCUUCCACCAUCAUAACAACCUGUUAAUUUUUCACCUGGAAUCACAAGAUCAUUAAUAGUGCAACAAAUCUUUGUAAAAUUGUUCUCCUUGUUUGUGACUGUUGUUCUUAAUUUCAUGCGUGAAGUACAACAUAUAUCACUGAACCUAAUUUAGACAGACAUAUAUUUUCAUUAUAGCUUUUGUACUAAAGAAAUUCUUCUUAUCCCAAGGUUGAAGAACAAAGAAACGAUACACAGAAAGACGUCAUUCUUAACUAGAAAAGGCGUUCAGCUUUGACUAAAAAUGAGUACCUGGAAAACUGGUACAAAAAUAAUAAGAAAGUCUUUUACAAUGUUAUCCGUCUCCCAGCCUUCAAGCUGCAAUAAAAGGCCACAUCAAGCAUCAGAUAUGCAGCGUUUCUAUAGCUAGAAUUACAAAGCACUUCUGGUAGACUGUAAAACCAGCUAACAUCAGCAUCAAAGCAUGCCUUAGAGGCCUUAAUUUAAACUCCCCUGCAGAACAACUAACCCACUCAUCAGUCACUGAGAAUUCAACACCAUGGUCUACUUUAUCUGCCCCUGCACUCAGUACCCCGAAUCGCAGCAGGUAGAUGCCCAUAUCCACAACAAAAGGGCUUGAAUAUGCCUCAACUAGUCGUGUUCAUUCACCAACAUCUACGUUAGCACUUGCUUCUAAUCAGUGGUCUCUCUACUUGCAAAAAAACACAAGCAUGUGCAUCAACUCCAGUUUAGUUGCCUCAUCUAAAUCAGACCUUAAAUAUUUCUCUCGAUCACCUCCAGAGAUGCCACAAAGAACAAUAUGCUAGUUCCGGCACAACUUGUGUUCCCACGUUGAAUUAUAGUUGCCAAAAUACAAUAUGCUAGUUCUGGCACAACUUGUGUCCUGAUCA